AGCGAAGCGGGAAGAGCUCAAAUUUAUAAUCUGGCACCUUCGGUGUCCGAGUUGUAAUCUCUAGAAGUGUUUUCCGCGUUGGACCGCACACAAGUCUGUUGGAAUACAGCGGCAUAGUGGUGAGACCCCCGUAUAUGGUGCGGACGCCCAACGCUUUGUGAUACACUUUCGAAGAGUCGAGUUGUUUGGGAAUGCAGCUCAAAUUGGGUGGUAAAUUCCAUCUAAAGCUAAAUAUUGGCGAGAGACCGAUAGCGAACAAGUACCGUGAGGGAAAGAUGAAAAGCACUUUGGAAAGAGAGUUAACAGUACGUGAAAUUGUUGGAAGGGAAACGCUUGAAGUCAGACUUGCUUGCCGAGCAAUCGGUUUGCAGGCCAGCAUCAGUUUUCCGGGGUGGAUAAUGGUAGAGAGAAGGUAGCAGUUUCGGCUGUGUUAUAGCUCUCUGCUGGAUACACCUUGGGGGACUGAGGAACGCAGUGUGCCUUACGGCGGAUUUCUCGAG
rnacentral:rRNA from 1 species